UACGUAGGGUGCGAGCGUUGUCCGGAAUUAUUGGGCGUAAAGGGCUCGUAGGCGGUUUGUCGCGUCGGGAGUGAAAUCCACUGGCUUAACUGGUGGCUUGCUUUCGAUACGGGCAGACUGGAGGUAUGCAGGGGAGAACGGAAUUCCUGGUGUAGCGGUGAAAUGCGCGGAUAUCAGGAGGAACACCGGUGGCGAAGGCGGUUCUCUGGGCAUGUCCUGACGCUGAGGAGCGAAAGUGUGGGGAGCGAACAGG
rnacentral:rRNA from 1 species